rnacentral:rRNA from 1 species
GGGUGAGUAACACGUGAGUAAUCUGCCCCUGGCUUUGGGAUAGCCACCGGAAACGGUGAUUAAUACCGGAUAUGACAUGGUCUCGCAUGGGAUUGUGUGGAAAGUUUUUCGGCCAGGGAUGUGCUCGCGGCCUAUCAGCUUGAUGGUGAGGUAAUGGCUCACCAUGGCUUCGACGGGUAGCCGGCCUGAGAGGGUGACCGGUCACACUGGGACUGAGACACGGCCCAGACUCCUACGGGAGGCAGCAGUGGGGAAUAUUGGACAAUGGGCGGAAGCCUGAUCCAGCAACGCCGCGUGAGGGAUGACGGCCUUCGGGUUGUAAACCUCUUUCGCCUGUGACGAAGCGAGCCUUUGGGUGAGUGACGGUAGCGGGUAAAGAAGCACCGGCCAACUACGUGCCAGCAGCCGCGGUAAUACGUAGGGUGCGAGCGUUGUCCGGAAUUAUUGGGCGUAAAGGGCUCGUAGGCGGUUUGUCGCGUCGGGAGUGAAAUCCAGGUGCUUAACACCUGGCUUGCUUUCGAUACGGGCAGACUAGAGGUAUUCAGGGGAGAACGGAAUUCCUGGUGUAGCGGUGAAAUGCGCAGAUAUCAGGAGGAACACCGGUGGCGAAGGCGGUUCUCUGGGAAUGACCUGACGCUGAGGAGCGAAAGUGUGGGGAGCGAACAGGAUUAGAUACCCUGGUAGUCCACACCGUAAACGUUGGGCGCUAGGUGUGGGGUCCAUU